CCAUUUUCCUGGGUUCUUGAUAUGUAUUUUGCAUAAUUCUUUUCCUCCAUUUUGGUUUGUACUGUUUAUGGUUAUGUUUGAAUGAUCCUGUUUUUGUCUGUAUUUUUAUAAAAUGCUACUCUACAAGAACUUUAACUGGGACACAAUAUUCAGUUUGUGUUUGUGUUUUGAAUGUCAAAGAAAUGAACUGUCACUUAAGGAACGGGCUAUUCGGCACUGAAGCUGGGGACACGCCAAGCCGAUGAACGCCAGCUCGGGACAACACAGCUCCAUGCCAAGGAUGGAGCCCCCUGCCUGCAGAGAGGCAGGUGUAUGGAGCAAAGUUUGGCCUCGGGCUGACCUAAAAAUCAUGCAUGGGAGCUGGACCCAUAUCCUAUGGCUUUCAUAAUGCAGUGCUGCAUUCCUCCUCUUGGCACAGGCUCUCUGCUUAACUGCUGCUAGCGCUCACUCUCUCACAUCUCUCUCUCUCGCUGCUAUCUUUCCUCAGCCUCGCUCUGCCUCUCAUAAUGCAGAGCCAGCAGAAAGCAGGUCUCUCUGUCUCUCUCUCCUCUCUUGGCUUUACUGACACAGAGUGAGGCAGAGGGAGAAGAAAUCAGAGAGGGGGUGGAGAGAGGAGAGGAAAAAGGCAGAAUAAAGGAAGGAGGGACGCAAAAGGAGAAAGAAUCAAAGGUUUAUGGAACAGGAAAGAGGCUGCGGGUGUGCUGGGCUGUGCUACA